GAUGAACGCUGGCGGCGUGCUUAACACAUGCAAGUCGAACGUGAGGGUGUAGCAAUAUGCCUGAAAGUGGCGAACGGGUGAGUAACACGUAGAUGACCUGCCCUGGAGUGGGGGAUAACCAUUGGAAACGGUGGCUAAUACCGCAUACAUCCAGAAGAUUGGGAAAUUUUCUGGGGAAAGCUCUGGUGCUCUGGGAGGGGUCUGCGUCCGAUUAGCUAGUUGGUGAGGUAAAGGCUCACCAAGGCGGCGAUCGGUAGCUGGUCUGAGAGGACGAUCAGCCACACGGGAACUGAGACACGGUCCCGACUCCUACGGGGGGCAGCAGUGAGGAAUAUUGGGCAAUGGGCGAGAGCCUGACCCAGCAACGCCGCGUGGAGGAAGACGGCCUUCGGGUUGUAAACUCCUUUUGACAGGGAAGAGAGAGGACGGUACCUGUCGAAUAAGUCACGGCUAACUACGUGCCAGCCGCCGCGGAAAUAC
rnacentral:rRNA from 1 species